rnacentral:rRNA from 1 species
CAGCCGCCACGGUAAUACGAGGGGGGCAAGCGUUGUUCGGAUUUAUUGGGCGUAAAGGGUGCGUAGGCGGUUUGGCAAGUAUUGUGUGAAAUCUUCGGGCUCAACCCGAAGCCUGCACGAGAAACUACCGGGCUUGAGUAUUGGAGAGGUGAGUGGAAUUUCCGGUGUAGCGGUGAAAUGUGUAGAUAUCGGAAGGAACACCUGUGGCGAAAGCGGCUCACUGGACCAUUACUGACGCUGAGGCGCGAAAGCUAGGGGAGCAAACAGGAUUAGAUACCCCGGUAGUCCCUGUCUCUUAUAC